UCCGAGUUGACCCCGGCAGUCUCCUAUGAGUCCCCACCAUCACGUGCUGGCAACAUAGAACGAGGGUUGUGCUCGUUGCGGGACUUAACCCAACAUCUCACGACACGAGCUGACGACAGCCAUGCACCACCUGCACACAGGCCACAAGGGAACCGACAUCUCUGCCGGCGUCCUGUGCAUGUCAAACCCAGGUAAGGUUCUUCGCGUUGCAUCGAAUUAAUCCACAUGCUCCGCCGCUUGUGCGGGCCCCCGUCAAUUUCUUUGAGUUUUAGCCUUGCGGCCGUACUCCCCAGGCGGUCAACUUAAUGCGUUAGCUGCGCCACUAAAAGCUCAAGGCUUCCAACGGCUAGUUGACAUCGUUUACGGCGUGGACUAC
rnacentral:misc_RNA from 1 species